rnacentral:lncRNA from 1 species
AGGCCCAGAAUCACCCUGAUCGGAGGAGGAAGGACGCCGAUAGGGCCUUUGAGAGCGCGGCACAGGCAGUCAGUGGCGCCGCUGCUGGAUAGAUCCUCCAGCGUGGGCAACGGCCGGGUGGUGGUGGUUGGUUUUGCGGAGGCGGUGACGGCAUCGGCGCCGGAGGUGGUGGCGUUGGCGGCAUCGGUCCUGGGGACGGCGGUUGUGUUGGCGGAGGCGGUGACGGCAUCAGUGCCGGAGGUGGUGGCAUCGGCGGCAUGGGUCCUGGGGACGGUGGCUGUGUUGGCGGCGGUGGCGACGGCAUCGGCGCUGGUGGUGGUGGCAUCGGCGGCAUGGGUCCUGGGGACGGCGGUUGUGUUGGCGGCGGUGGCGACGGCAUGGGUCCUGGGGACGGUGGUUGCAUUGGUGGAGGUGACGGCAUCGGCGGCAUGGGUCCUGGGGACGGCGGUUGUGUUGGCGGCGGUGGCGACGGCAUCGGUGGCAUGGGUCCUGGGGACGGUGGUUGCAUUGGUGGAGGUGACGGCAUCGGCGCCGGUGGUGGUGGCAUCGGCGGCAUCGGUCCCGGGGAUGGUGGUUGAGUUGGGGGAGGUGGUGACGGCAUCGGCGCCAUCGGUCCGGGAGACGGUGGUUGUGUGGGCGGUGGUGUUGGUGGCAUUGUUGGCGCCACAAUGGGUGGCUGUGUUGUCCGCUGAGCAUGGGCGAACGGCGAGAUCGGGAGGACGAUGGCAACGAGGACGAACGCGGCGGACGCCAUGGAGGCCACCAUCGUUAGCUACUACGCACCAGCGCUGAUCAGCUAGCUU